rnacentral:rRNA from 1 species
CCUACGGGAGGCUGCAGUGAGGAAUAUUGGUCAAUGGGCGCGAGCCUGAACCAGCCAAGCAGCGUGAAGGAUGACUGCCCUACGUGUUGUAAACUUCUUUUAUAAAGGAAUAAAGUGAGGCACGUGUCCCUUUAUGUGUGUACUUUAUGAAUAAGGAUCGGCUAACUCCGUGCCAGCAGCCGCGGUAAUACGGAGGAUCCGAGCGUUAUCCGGAUUUAUUGGGUUUAAAGGGAGCGGAGAUGGGUUGUUAAGUCAGUUGUGAAAGUUUGGGGCUCAACCGUGAAAUUGCAAUUGAUACUGGCAGUCUUGAGUACAGUUGAGGUAGGCGGAAUUCGUGGUGUAGCGGUGAAAUGCUUAGAUAUCACGAAGAACUCCGAUUGCGAAGGCAGCUUACUAAACUGCCACUGACAUUGAGGCUCGAAAGUGUGGGUAUCAAACAGGAUUAGAUACCCCUGUAGUC